CUUACACAACUAAUAUUACCCAUAAUGAUAGCCCCCACUCGCUCAGCAACAUCUGUGUUCCAGGCACCGUUUUAAGGAAGUUAAAUAGAUUAUUUAAUCCCUACAGGCAUUUUCAUUAUCCUUACUGACAUGCAGAGAAACACAGACACGGGAGUACUGGCAGCUGGCCAUGACGAGGCAGAAGAGGAGCACCCACACGUCUUUGCAGAAGCCUUGGUUCAAUGUCAGAAAGCCGAGGAGCGAGACCAGCACAAUGAGUAAAACUGCCAGCACGUUCUCCUUGACAUCUUCAGUUCUGCAUAAAAUAAACAAAUAAAAACAAAGGAAAUAAAAGAUGCUGUGUGAGUUAAAAACAUCAGAGCUGGGGCAGCCACAUUGUCACCAUGAGAAACAAGGCUGAGGAGACCACAGCUGA